rnacentral:rRNA from 1 species
AGAGUUUGAUCAUGGCUCAGAUUGAACGCUGGCGGCAGGCCUAACACAUGCAAGUCGAGCGGUAGAGAGGUGCUUGCACCUCUUGAGAGCGGCGGACGGGUGAGUAAUACCUAGGAAUCUGCCUGAUAGUGGGGGAUAACGUUCGGAAACGGACGCUAAUACCGCAUACGUCCUACGGGAGAAAGCAGGGGACCUUCGGGCCUUGCGCUAUCAGAUGAGCCUAGGUCGGAUUAGCUAGUUGGUGAGGUAAUGGCUCACCAAGGCUACGAUCCGUAACUGGUCUGAGAGGAUGAUCAGUCACACUGGAACUGAGACACGGUCCAGACUCCUACGGGAGGCAGCAGUGGGGAAUAUUGGACAAUGGGCGAAAGCCUGAUCCAGCCAUGCCGCGUGUGUGAAGAAGGUCUUCGGAUUGUAAAGCACUUUAAGUUGGGAGGAAGGGCAUUAACCUAAUACGUUAGUGUUUUGACGUUACCGACAGAAUAAGCACCGGCUAACUCUGUGCCAGCAGCCGCGGUAAUACAGAGGGUGCAAGCGUUAAUCGGAAUUACUGGGCGUAAAGCGCGCGUAGGUGGUUUGUUAAGUUGAAUGUGAAAUCCCCGGGCUCAACCUGGGAACUGCAUCCAAAACUGGCAAGCUAGAGUAUGGUAGAGGGUAGUGGAAUUUCCUGUGUAGCGGUGAAAUGCGUAGAUAUAGGAAGGAACACCAGUGGCGAAAGCGACUACCUGGACUGAUACUGACACUGAGGUGCGAAAGCGUGGGGAGCAAACAGGAUUAGAUACCCUGGUAGUCCACGCCGUAAACGAUGUCAACUAGCCGUUGGGAGUCUUGAACUCUUAGUGGCGCAGCUAACGCAUUAAGUUGACCGCCUGGGGAGUACGGCGCAGGUAAACUCAAAUGAAUUUGACGGGGGCCCGCACAGGCGGUGGAGCA